CCUGCCCACUGAUUAAUUGAAUGGCCGCAGUAAUUUGACUGUGCAAAGGUAGCAUAAUCAUUAGUUUUUUAAUUAAAAGCUUGUAUGAAGGGUUGGACGAGGUAAGAUCUGUCUCUAUUUAAUUUAUUAUAGAAUUUAAUUUUUAAGUUAAAAAGCUUAAAUUUUAAUAAAAGACGAGAAGACCCUAUAGAUCUUUAUAUUUAUAUUAUUAAUUUUAUUUAGGAUUAUUUUAUUUUUUAUUAAUAAAAAUAUUUUAUUGGGGUAAUAGAGAGAUUAAAUAAAUUCUUUUUUUUUAUUAUAUAGAUUAAUAAAUAUUUGAUCCAAUUAUUUUGAUUAUAAGAUUAAGUUACCUUAGGGAUAACAGCGUAAUUUUUUUAGAGAGUUCAUAUCGAUAAGAAAGUUUGCGACCUCGAUGUUGGAUUAAAAAUUGUUU
rnacentral:rRNA from 1 species